AAGCAGUGAUGUGAAGCAAAUCGCACCAAAGCCGGUCCCAGUUCGGAUAAGAGGCUGAAACUCGCCUCUUUGAAGUCGGAAUCGCUAGUAAUCGCAGAUCAGCAUGUUGCGGUGAAUACGUUCCCGGGUCUUGUACACACCGCCCGUCAAACCAUGAGAGUCACCAACACCCGAAGUCCGCUUUGGCGGCCUAAGGUGGGGGAGAUGAUUGGGGUUAAGUCGUAACAAGGUACC
rnacentral:rRNA from 1 species